rfam:Triticum aestivum genome assembly, contig: Triticum_aestivum_CS42_TGACv1_scaffold_093067_2AL
AUUAUACUCCCUCUGUCCCAAAAUUGUUGUUUUAAAUUUGUUUAGAUACGGAUGUAUCUAACGUAACUAGAUACAUCCAUAUUUAGACAAAUCUAAGACAAUAAUUUUGGGAGAGGGGGAGUAUAAA